rnacentral:misc_RNA from 1 species
GUGAAUCAUCGAAUUUUUGAACGCAAAUUGCACUCUCCUCGGAGAGUAUGCGUAUUUCAGGGUCAGGCUGUAAAAAAUCGACAUCGUUGCUGUUUCGCGGUGUAGUUCGUCGUACAUUGGGUAAUCUUAUUUCUUUUGGUUGUAGGCGACUUAAAAUUUUCUUUUUGGUUCCAUGAACGUUUCUAUGAUCUAUUUCUUUACACGUUUAAGGUAUCGUUUUUUACUAGACGUGACCAUCAUAUCGGAUCGCGUCCAUAAUCUUUCAUUAAUUGACCUCAGACAGGUAAGAGU